rnacentral:lncRNA from 1 species
AAAGGGAGUGGACAGACAAAGAAGAGAAAGGAACAAGAACCCAGUCGUAGGGCAUGGGUUUGAAGGGGUCGUGGGCGAUUCCCCGAAAGGUGUGGAAAGUCAGUUAUAUGCUCGAUUUGUUAACGAAAAAGAGCUCUUCUCUCGAAAAAAAGAAAUAGAAACGAUCUUGGUCAAGAGUGAGCUGCGCUAUACCCGUGCGAAGGAAGGA